AUUGAACGCUGGCGGCAUGCCUUACACAUGCAAGUCGAACGGUAACGGGCCUUCGGGUGCCGACGAGUGGCGAACGGGUGAGUAAUGUAUCGGAACGUACCUUUCAGUGGGGGAUAACGUAGCGAAAGUUACGCUAAUACCGCAUAUUCUGUGAGCAGGAAAGCAGGGGAUCGCAAGACCUUGCGCUGAUUGAGCGGCCGAUAUCAGAUUAGCUAGUUGGUGAGGUAAAGGCUCACCAAGGCGACGAUCUGUAGCGGGUCUGAGAGGAUGAUCCGCCACACUGGAACUGAGACACGGUCCAGACUCCUACGGGAGGCAGCAGUGGGGAAUUUUGGACAAUGGGGGCAACCCUGAUCCAGCCAUGCCGCGUGAGUGAAGAAGGCCUUCGGGUUGUAAAGCUCUUUUGUCAGGGAGCAAAUCCUGCCUGCUAAUACUAGGUGGGGAUGAGAGUACCUGAAGAAUAAGGACCGGCUAACUACGUGCCAGCCGCCGCGGUAACAC
rnacentral:rRNA from 1 species